rnacentral:lncRNA from 10 species
UGGGGGCAGUCAUAGUCUUAAUUAUAAGUUACUAAAAUUUACUGAGUCCCUCUCAUGUACCAAAUGCUGUAUUAAAGACUUUGCAUAUGCCAUUUAAUUUUCACUAGCGAGUCUCCUACUUGUUUUUUUUAUUUUGGAAAAAUUUAAUAUAUUCUCUAUUGUUAAGUACACCAGAUGCUGGACUUCUGAAACAACAAUUGUACUUCAGCAUAAUUGCAUUUUCUACAUUUUUUCUGUUCAUGUUGCUUGUUCCUCUGAUUUACCUAGAAUCAGUGAAUCUGAAAAACAAAAAGAUUCUUUAAGCACCUGGUAAAUUUCAGGUCCCACAUUAGAAAAUGAGCAAGCAUCAAUAAUAUUGAUGGGGGUGAAAAUAUGACACUGUGAAAGUCUCCUACUUCUAAAUGUGAAAAGGAG